UGUGAAUUUUUAAAGUGGCUGUGCAUC
rnacentral:piRNA from 1 species